rnacentral:rRNA from 1 species
UACGUAGGGUGCAAGCGUUGUCCGGAAUUAUUGGGCGUAAAGAGCUCGUAGGCGGCUUGUCACGUCUGCUGUGAAAACUCGGGGCUCAACCCCGAGCCUGCAGUGGAUACGGGCUAGCUAGAGUGCGGUAGGGGAGACUGGAAUUCCUGGUGUAGCGGUGAAAUGCGCAGAUAUCGAGGAGGAACACCGAUGGCGAAGGCAGGUCUCUGGGCCACUACUGACGCUGAGAAGCGAAAGCAUGGGGAGCGAACAGG